rnacentral:tRNA from 1 species
GGAGAGAUGGCAGAGUGGUUGAUUGCGUCGGUCUUGAAAACCGAAGUGCCGGUAACGGUACCGUGGGUUCGAAUCCCUCUCUCUCCGCCA